UACGUAGGGGGCAAGCGUUGUCCGGAAUCAUUGGGCGUAAAGAGCGUGUAGGCGGCCAGAUAAGUCCGCUGUGAAAUCUCGAGGCUCAACUUCGAGCUGUCGGUGGAAACUGUCUGGCUAGAGUCCGGAAGAGGAGAAUGGAAUUCCUGGUGUAGCGGUGAAAUGCGCAGAUAUCAGGAGGAACACCGGUGGCGAAGGCGGUUCUCUGGGCCUUACCUGACGCUGAGGAGCGAAAGCAUGGGGAGCAAACAGG
rnacentral:rRNA from 1 species